rnacentral:rRNA from 1 species
GACGAACCGUGCGAACGUUAUUCGGAAUCACUGGGCUUAAAGCGCGUGUAGGCGGGCCGGCACGUCCGUCGCUGAAAUCCCCCGGCUCAACCGGGGAAGGGGCGCCGAUACGGCCGGCCUGGAGGGACGUAGGGGGGGCUGGAACUUCCGGUGGAGCGGUGAAAUGCGUUGAGAUCGGAAGGAACGCCCGUAGCGAAAGCGAGCCCCUGGACGUCUACUGACGCUGAGACGCGAAAGCCAGGGGAGCGAACGGG